UCCUGAGUGUGACAAUAAUUUACACCUGUGCUGCUCCUGCUGUGAGAUGUCAAAACACAUCCUCUAUCGAAGAGGCCUACAUGUGACAGGUUUUUCAUGUCACAGCAACACAGCUCGCAUCUUAAUUAACUGUGUGCUGUGGCAGCAGAGAUCCACUUUAAAUUGCAGCCAUAACCACAGUUUCCUGACUCACCUGAGCAAACUGCGGCUGCCCGAUGAAACCAGCCCCACCACCAGCAACCAUGGGUGGGUUCAGGCCUCCAGCCAUCAUCCCAGGGUUUACUCCUCCGUUUGCCAU